GGGCGCAUGGUCUAGGGGUAUGAUUUUCGCUUUGCAUUGCCUAAAUAAUUGCGAAAGGCCCGGGGUUCAAAUCCCCGUACGUCCA
rfam:Exophiala spinifera strain CBS 89968 unplaced genomic scaffold supercont1.7, whole genome shotgun sequence.